GUAAACUAAAACUUUAUUAUUCAGCUCUGCAUAAAAAGCUUGUUGUUGUUGGAAUUGUGUUGGAAAGGGAUGUCCGAUGUAAAAGCGAAUUUUCAAAAACUUUUUGAUGGUGGUUUGAAAUAGGAAUUUUGUGAAAAGAUCGAGUAAAUAAUAAAAAUAGGCCCAAUUAAAUUGUCCCUUUGCCGGACAAUUGAAUUUAGAUCGUUUGUCGUUGGAAAUUGCCUGGUUGCUUCGGUCCUGACUCUCGGGUCAUCGUCGAGGGGGGGUUGAUACCUUUCCGUGCCGUUGCUGCUCUGCUGCCGUGGAUGAUGGAUGACGGCCAUGAAAUGCUGCGCAAAUGUGUCACACCAGCUCAAGUUAUAUACCACUACAGCAUGUAUUCACAGUGGAAUUGCCAGCACCCACAGAUAUGAGAGGUAAUCUGACCGUUUCCGGGCAGCAAUCGGAAUCCGGAAGAUAGAUGACAAAGAUGCAGAAUUCGUCGAAAAACAUUCUUGGCAUAGAAUGUCGAAGAACAAAAAAAACGGUUUAUGUAUUUUAGCCAGCAAAAUGAAAACCACUUAAAUAUUUUCUCAAUUAUCCGGAAGGCAGCUGACUGGAGGUUCAUGGCGCUAUGAUUGCUUCAGAUUGGUUCCUGUUCCGAGAUGCUGCCGGAGGAAAGCUGCAGAGAGUGCAUUGAACUAUUUAAAGCACCAUCGAGCCUCUUCAAAUUCGUUAAAAAAGGUAAAAUGCAUUCACAGUAGGUGUUUUGUGAAAAUAAUCGACCGAAACCACCCAUCCAAAAUCUAUGGGGUCCAGGAUCACGUCGAGAUGGCGUUCAGUCUGAUCGAGUACGCCGGCAAAAUGGAUAUAGUUGGGCUGCUGUAGAUACUGAUACGUUUCCUAGUUCAAUCCAUGCUGGACCGCACGGAUCCGUUCUGGAUGUUGAGACCAUUCGAGAUUUAAAACAAAAUUUCGGAACCAGGAUGAACAGCCGUAGCCCUGAAUUUUUGGCCUGAGAUCUAGAACAACUCGUAUUCAGGAGAGCGUCUAUUUGCCAUGGAAUGGUGUAAAAAAAAACUCGCGGAAGUUAAAAGUGUUUGCA